UGUGAAAUUGCUAGGUCAUAUUUUAAUUCACAAAUUUCACUUUCUGAAGAACUGCAAAAUUAUUUUCCAAAAUAGCUGUACCACUUUGUGUUCCUGCCAGCAAU
rnacentral:pre_miRNA from 1 species